UGGGGAAUAUUGGACAAUGGGCGAAAGCCUGAUCCAGCAAUGCCGCGUGAGUGAUGAAGGCCUUAGGGUUGUAAAGCUCUUUUUACCAGGGAUGAUAAUGACAGUACCUGGAGAAUAAGCUCCGGCUAACUCCGUGCCAGCAGCCGCGGUAAUACGGAGGGAGCUAGCGUUGUUCGGAAUUACUGGGCGUAAAGCGUACGUAGGCGGUGACUCAAGUCAGAGGUGAAAGCCUGGAGCUCAACUCCAGAACUGCCUUUGAAACUAGGUCGCUAGAAUCACGGAGAGGUGAGUGGAAUUCCGAGUGUAGAGGUGAAAUUCGUAGAUAUUCGGAAGAACACCAGUGGCGAAGGCGGCUCACUGGACGUGUAUUGACGCUGAGGUACGAAAGCGUGGGGAGCAAACAGGAUUAGAUACCCGCGUAGUCCCUGAGCGGGCUGGCAAGGCGCAU
rnacentral:rRNA from 1 species